rnacentral:misc_RNA from 1 species
UGGGAUAAUGUUAUUAUUGAAGACAAUUGCAAAUUAAGUCAUUCAUUAGUUUGUGAUGGUGUCCAUUUAAGGGCAGGAGUUGUUUUAGAGCCUGGUGUUGUAUUAUCUUUUAAGGUCGAAGUCGGGCAGCAAAUGGUUGUUACUGCUUAUUCAAAGGUUUCUUUACUCCCUCAACCUUCCAAACAGGACAGUGAUGAUGAACUCGA